GACGAACGCUGGCGGCGUGCUUAACACAUGCAAGUCGAACGGAAAGGCCCCAGCUUGCUGGGGUACUCGAGUGGCGAACGGGUGAGUAACACGUGGGUGAUCUGCCCUGCACUCUGGGAUAAGCCUGGGAAACUGGGUCUAAUACCGGAUAGGACCGUGCUUUAGUGUGUGCGGUGGAAAGUUUUUCGGUGCAGGAUGAGCCCGCGGCCUAUCAGCUUGUUGGUGGGGUAAUGGCCUACCAAGGCGGCGACGGGUAGCCGGCCUGAGAGGGUGUACGGCCACAUUGGGACUGAGACACGGCCCAGACUCCUACGGGAGGCAGCAGUGGGGAAUAUUGCACAAUGGGCGCAAGCCUGAUGCAGCGACGCCGCGUGGGGGAUGACGGCCUUCGGGUUGUAAACCCCUUUCGGCAGGGACGAAGCUUUUGUGACGGUACCUGCAUAAGAAGCACCGGCUAACUACG
rnacentral:rRNA from 1 species